GACUAAACAUAUCCAAGUAAGAGACAGUUUAUUGCUAUCUAGCUAUGUAUAUAUAUAACCAUGCAUAGUAGUGAAGCACUCAGUUGGCUGAUGGAGGUUUGUAGGGUGACUUCAACUUCCGUGGUGGCUUCUCUCCUUUGCCUUUAGGAGGAUCUUGGGGUGGUUUGCGUUCUGGGAAUGGUUUUCCUCCUUUACCGUUAUCAGCCUCCAUCAAAAUGUGCCCAGGGAGAGGAUCAUGUGGAGGCUUAUGCUCUGGGGGUGGUCUCUCACCAUGUUCCUUUGGAGGUUGCUGUGGCUCUUCAUGUUCAUGGGGUGGUUUAUGUUCCGGCAGUGGCUUCUCUCCUUUGCCUUUAGGAGGCUCUUGGGGUGGUUUGCGUUCUGGGAAUGGUUUUCCUCCUCUACCCUCAUCAUCCUCCAUCAAAAUGUGUCCAGGGCGAGGAUCAUGAGGAGGCUUAUACUCUUUGGGGGGUUUCUCACCAUGUUCCUUUGGAGGUUGCUGUGGCUCUUCAUGUUCAUGGGGUGGUUUAUGUUCCGGCAGUGGCUUCUCUCCUUUACCCUUAGGAGGCUCCUGGGGUGGUUUAUGCUCUGGAAAUGGCUUUCCUCCUUUACCUUCAUCAUCCUCCAUCAAAAUGUGUCCAGGGUGAGGAUCAUGAGGAGGCUUAUCCUCUUUGGGUGGUUUCUCACCAUGUUCCUUUGGAGGUUGUUGUGGUCCUUCAUGUUCUGGAGGUGGUUUCUCUCCCUUACCCUUAGGAGGCUCUUGGGGUGGUUCGUGUUCUAGAGGUGGCUUCUCUCCCUUACCUUUAGGAAGCUCUUGGGGUGGUUUCUCACCAUGUUCCUUUGGAGGUUGUUGUGGUCCUUCAUGUUCAUGGGGUGGUUCAUGUUCUGGAGGUGGCUUCUCUCCCUUACCCUUAGGAGGCUCUUGGGGUGGCUUCUCUCCCUGACCUUUAGGAGGCUCUUGCUGCGGUUUAUGCUCUGGGAAUGGUUUCCCUCCUCUACCCUCAUCAUCCUCUAUCAAAAUGUGUCCAGGAUGAGGAUCAUGUGGAGGUUUCUGCUCCGGUGGUGGCUUUUCACCCUUUCCUCUAGGUGGCUCUUGUGGCUCCUCAUGUUCAGGAGGUGGUUUAUCGCCUUUACCCCUAGGAGGCUCAUGAGGUGGUUCUUGUUCUGGAGGUGGCUUCUUGGGAGGCCCGUGUGGGCCCUCAUGGGAUGGUUCAGGUUCAUGCCUAGGCCUGGGAUCGCCACCAGCCUGAAACUGAUCAGCAAGUGAGGGUGUUGUGGUGCUGAUGACCACAACUCCCAGGAAAAACAAGACUAGCAAGUAUUUAGGAUACAUGUUGGC
rnacentral:lncRNA from 1 species